rnacentral:rRNA from 1 species
UACAGAGGUCUCAAGCGUUGUUCGGAUUCAUUGGGCGUAAAGGGUGCGUAGGUGGCGCGGUAAGUCGGGUGUGAAAUUUCGGAGCUUAACUCCGAAACUGCAUUCGAUACUGCCGUGCUUGAGGACUGGAGAGGAGACUGGAAUUUACGGUGUAGCAGUGAAAUGCGUAGAGAUCGUAAGGAAGAACCAGUGGCGAAGGCGGGUCUCUGGACAGUUCCUGACACUGAGGCACGAAGGCCAGGGGAGCAAACGGG